rnacentral:misc_RNA from 1 species
UUUCCGUAGGUGAACCUGCGGAAGGAUCAUUCGUAGUAAGUGUUUUAUGGCACUUUUUUAAUUCCAUAUCCACCUUGUGUGCAAUGUCAGGGUUGAUUUUUCUCUCGAGAGCAUCAGCCCCAAACAUCAACUAUAUCACAACUCUUUGUCUGAAAAUAGUAUGAUUAAAACAAUUCAAAAUACAACUUUCAACAACGGAUCUCUUGGCUCUC